AUUCAAGCCACAGUGUCUUCUAUCUUCAAGCUGGUGAGACACACUGCAGUCCUCUACAGAACAGAAGAGAGACAGUGCACAGGAUUGCUCUUGUGAACUUGAUGAUGAUUGAUAAGGUGUACUCUGGUCCCUGCCUUCCUCUGCAGGCUUCUCUCUUCUCCAACGCACUCUAGUCUAAGCUCCAAACACAAAUUGUCGUUGCCCCGAGUGGACCAUGUUCCCUCUCACCUCCCCACCUUUGCAGAAGCUUUCUUGAAAUCCCCAGAUCUGCCUUUUCGAUGACUAGUCCCCAUUUGUCCUUUAUUUAUAGUUUAACCUCUCGAAAACCUGUCUGGAAACCCACCCCCAGAAGGGCUAAUGGCUCCUCACUAGGUCUUCCUAUACCAUCAUCCGCUUCCCCAGUUAAAAUUGUACUUAGCGUAUUUGUGAAAUGAAUAACUGGAUGACUUUCUCCAUGCUGGGCAUUGUGCUAAAUGUUUCAAAUACGUAAUGCAUUCAAUUCUAGAAGAGCUCCGUGUUUGGUACUAUUAUUAUCCCCAUUUUACAGACAAUGAAAUUGAGGUUUCAAGAGGGUAAGUCAUUCCCAUGCUGUCCAGUUAAUCUAUUUUGUAUGGAUGUGGAUAUUCUGGAGAAUCUGAUGAGAUGGGCGGAUCUGAUUCUCUCUGGGAUGCCCUACGAUUUGGCACUACUUGGGGGCUCAGGGGCCUGCCUGAUGGAGCUGUGAUCACAACCUGGCUCUUCACUAAUUAGCUGGUGUCAAUGACCAGCACACUUUAGCCCUGAGUCCCAGUUUCCUCUUUGGCAAAUUGGCAGAAUAAUCGCUAUCUUCCCAACUGUUAUGAGGACAAAAAAAUGAGAAGCUGUUGAGAAAGCACAUAGCACCACAUCCAGCAUUUAAAAAACAAAUUUUUUAAAGUAAAAGAUGAGGAGUUUCCCUUUCCUUAAAGGAAGUAAUCUGUCUCUGCUACCUUGUGCCACAGUUAAACUGCACAGGCUCAAUAACUUAUGUUUUGGUUAAACGUUUUUAAUUUUUUUUAGAGUGAAAUCCGAGUUUUUGUUGGCAAGUGAUUGAACACGCUGGGCCCAGCCUCCAGGCCCACAGUCCAUUAGGAAAUUUACGAGGCGAGAUGGGGACCUUCAGCUCAAGUACUCCCUUCAGACGCAGUACUUACAAAGCCAUCAAUUUCCUUAACAAAGAGCAUUGGCUUAAAUGCCCCUUAAAGGAGUGUUAUUUACACAGCUAUCCACUUCCUUUUGAAUUCUCUGCCUGGGGGGUGGCAGACCUGCAGUUCUUUCCAGCUACGAGUUAAUUAGGCUCUCUCCCCAAAUGGAAGCAAGCCGCAGACUGAGAUUUGGUAUUAAAAAGCAGCUCAAUUUGGGGCCAUCCGAGAGUCUUAUGGGCUGAUCCAAAUACCACCAAAAUCACUGGUUCCACCCACCCAUUCUUCUAAAAUUCUAAAGCCUUUGGACCUUACCAAAGAGUAAUGACCUCUGUCAGUAUAGAGAUAGAGAAGGAAAGGCAGCGUUUGAGCCUGUCUCUACUUAGUAAAAGAAGCCUCAAAAAAGUACUGCUGGCUAAGAUAGCGUACUUUCUACCUCUUGGUGUAUCAAUAUAGUAACAUUAACAUUUUAAAGAAACCCCCACCCCUUUUGUGGAGGAACUAGGAUUUGGAUACAAGGAGCCCGGUUCUGGGGUCUGAGCAUGAAACCACCACCCCAGGCCACCUGACCCAAGAUAACCUGCCUGAGAUGACAGCUAAGGAGGAAAGUCUCCGAUUCAAACAGGAUUGUCUGACUCUAAAGACCAGCAAAGCUGAACUACACUUUCUUGCCUGAAAAAUAAAACUGUCUCUUAAGAAAUACAUCCUUCUUUUACUCAUUUAUUCUAUAUUUACUGAACUAAAAAUUAUUUGUCAGUCCCUGGACUAACUCUUGGGAAACCAGAUAAAUUAAAGCAGGUCUCAGCGCUCCAAGAACUCAGGUCCUAGUGAGAGGGGAGAUAUGUAAAUGAUGACGGCACAGGAUUCUGACCUGAGGUACAAGAUACUGUGGGAGCAUAGAGAAGGGACCCCCAAUCCAAUCUUACCCAGAUUUAAGAAGGUUUCCCUUAGGAGGCAACACCUGGGCUGUAUCUCUCAGAGGAGGAAAGGGUGGUGGGGAGCACAUUUCAGCACGGGGACACUGUGAGCAAAUGAGAUGAGGCCAGCAAUAAAGUAGGAGGUAUAAAGCACAAGAUGGUAUUGGAGUAUAAAAUGCAAAUCCUGGCCAAGGCGGGCAGGACACAAGGUCAAGAGAUGGAGACCAUCCUAGCCAACAUGGUGAGACCCCAUCUCUACAAAAAUACAAAAAU